AAAAAGGUGGCCCACCGCCCCUCGCUGUAAUAUUACACAGGAUCGAGGUAUUUUUACGUUUUUGAGACUCGAAGCCUCCUCACCUCCACCGCUCCACGUUUUUUCCUAGUUUGCUGCGGACGGUUUUUUUUUAUUUUGGAAACAGAAGAGGCAGCGAACAGUAUGACGGCGAACGGCGGCAUGGCGCUCCCGAUCUGCUCGCUCCGGCGCCCCUCAAGGUCCCGAUUUGACUAUAAGCCGGUGGAUCUGGGUUCUCCCGAUGGUGGAGUUGAAGGGGCCCUAGUGGCUAAGGACACGACCGGCAAGCGGGAGGCCACCACAACCAGCGUUCUGGAGCUCUACCACUAAUCAUUCAUCUAGCACACAUCAUCACGUGGAUUAUGUUGACUGGAGAGAUCGCAAGAGGCCGAACAUCCUGCCCAAAGAGGGUUCAUUUCCUCCAUCACGACGGUCCCCAACCAGCUCUAUGCCACCGGAACACUUUAGUAUUAUCCCAUAUUCAUCGAUUCACUUGGCGCCGGAGCUCUUUAGUAUUGUUCCAUCUUCAUCUAUUUACUUGAGGAUGUAUCUAUUUACCCUCCCACAAGUAUCUACUUGAAUUCAGUUUUAUUUUACAAGAAAUUUAGUUUGCCGAAUGUAGUUAGAUCUCCAUAAUGCAGAGGCGUACUUUGUGUAUUCGAUUUUGAUUUACCCCCAAAUUCAAUAUAUUUGGGCAUAGUCAACUAACGAUGCUUCCCCUCAACUAACGAUACGUUUUGUAUGGUUGUUCAACCGUAGACUUUUGAGAUGUUCUAAUUUGUAUUAGAUAUACAAUCUUUUUGUAAAAUCCAGGUUGUGUUAAUGCUUUUUAAAAUUUAUAUAUGUUGGGAUAGCGAAUAUUGAAAAUAGUUGUGAUUCUUAUUGGAUUAAUUUGGCAUUCCACCUCGACGAAUGAUAUUUGUAAUUGGCUCAAUCAAGUGACAUACCAUUUCUUUCAGGCUUAUAAGCUUAGCAAUUUGUUGAAAUUCUAAAAAAUUUAGUUCAGUGGCGCAGUUUGUAGCUAUUACUGUGAUAGAUCAUCAAGACUGUCUAAUUUGUCUUGAAUGAAUGUUUUUUUGUAGUCAAAGAUUCACAGUAGAUUAUUGAUAUGAAAAGCUGAUACAAAUAGGAAAAGACAAAGACAGGCGGCUUUUUUUUGUUGCUCCUGCAGUUAAUAUUGUUAGUGUGUUUGUAAGAUCCAAAGUGACACCUCUGUCAUGAAUCUUAUGGCAAUACUGUGUUUGUAAGAAGUGAGAAGUGUUUAACACGCCUGUUGGCAACUUUUCUUGGGUACAGGUUUUGCUCACUUUGGGACUUGAUGAACAACUAGAAGCAUCAGGGUUAGGUCAUUGAUUGGAAGUUUAAGAUCAAAAGAAGAGCAUCAACAGCAGCUUGAUUGUUUUCAUGGCAACCUCUGAUUGUAAAAUGUCAUCUGCAUCUAUUCAAAAAGAUGUACUCUUUGUUUGCGGGUAUUCGAAAAGAUGUACUGACUGAACCUGUUAUUUCAUAUCUGCAAAUUCUUGUGCAUAGUUUUGUACGAGCGCACAGAAGGAACUUACCAAAUUCACAGACGGUAGUGAACUAUGAGCAUGAGAUUUUUUUUUAAAUGAACAAGAGCAUGUUUACCCGAA